ACUCCUACGGGAGGCAGCAGUGGGGAAUUUUGGACAAUGGGCGAAAGCCUGAUCCAGCAAUGCCGCGUGCAGGAUGAAGGCCUUCGGGUUGUAAACUGCUUUUGUACGGAACGAAAAAGCUCCUUCUAAUACAGGGGGCCCAUGACGGUACCGUAAGAAUAAGCACCGGCUAACUACGUGCCAGCAGCCGCGGUAAUACGUAGGGUGCGAGCGUUAAUCGGAAUUACUGGGCGUAAAGCGUGCGCAGGCGGUUAUGUAAGACAGAUGUGAAAUCCCCGGGCUCAACCUGGGAACUGCAUUUGUGACUGCAUGGCUAGAGUACGGUAGAGGGGGAUGGAAUUCCGCGUGUAGCAGUGAAAUGCGUAGAUAUGCGGAGGAACACCGAUGGCGAAGGCAAUCCCCUGGACCUGUACUGACGCUCAUGCACGAAAGCGUGGGGAGCAAACAGGAUUAGAAACCCCUGUAGUCCCAUGAG
rnacentral:rRNA from 1 species